rnacentral:rRNA from 1 species
UUAAGCGACUAAGCGUACACGGUGGAUGCCCUGGCAGUCAGAGGCGAUGAAGGACGUGCUAAUCUGCGAUAAGCGUCGGUAAGGUGAUAUGAACCGUUAUAACCGGCGAUUUCCGAAUGGGGAAACCCAGUGUGUUUCGACACACUAUCAUUAACUGAAUCCAUAGGUUAAUGAGGCGAACCGGGGGAACUGAAACAUCUAAGUACCCCGAGGAAAAGAAAUCAACCGAGAUUCCCCCAGUAGCGGCGAGCGAACGGGGAGCAGCCCAGAGCCUGAAUCAGUGUGUGUGUUAGUGGAAGCGUCUGGAAAGGCGCGCGAUACAGGGUGACAGCCCCGUACACAAAAAUGCACAUGCUGUGAGCUCGAUGAGUAGGGCGGGACACGUGGUAUCCUGUCUGAAUAUGGGGGGACCAUCCUCCAAGGCUAAAUACUCCUGACUGACCGAUAGUGAACCAGUACCGUGAGGGAAAGGCGAAAAGAACCCCGGCGAGGGGAGUGAAAAAGAACCUGAAACCGUGUACGUACAAGCAGUGGGAGCACGCUUCGGCGUGUGACUGCGUACCUUUUGUAUAAUGGGUCAGCGACUUAUAUUCUGUAGCAAGGUUAACCGAAUAGGGGAGCCGAAGGGAAACCGAGUCUUAACUGGGCGUUAAGUUGCAGGGUAUAGACCCGAAACCCGGUGAUCUAGCCAUGGGCAGGUUGAAGGUUGGGUAACACUAACUGGAGGACCGAACCGACUAAUGUUGAAAAAUUAGCGGAUGACUUGUGGCUGGGGGUGAAAGGCCAAUCAAACCGGGAGAUAGCUGGUUCUCCCCGAAAGCUAUUUAGGUAGCGCCUCGUGAAUUCAUCUCCGGGGGUAGAGCACUGUUUCGGCAAGGGGGUCAUCCCGACUUACCAACCCGAUGCAAACUGCGAAUACCGGAGAAUGUUAUCACGGGAGACACACGGCGGGUGCUAACGUCCGUCGUGAAGAGGGAAACAACCCAGACCGCCAGCUAAGGUCCCAAAGUCAUGGUUAAGUGGGAAACGAUGUGGGAAGGCCCAGACAGCCAGGAUGUUGGCUUAGAAGCAGCCAUCAUUUAAAGAAAGCGUAAUAGCUCACUGGUCGAGUCGGCCUGCGCGGAAGAUGUAACGGGGCUAAACCAUGCACCGAAGCUGCGGCAGCGACGCUUAUGCGUUGUUGGGUAGGGGAGCGUUCUGUAAGCCUGUGAAGGUGUGCUGUGAGGCAUGCUGGAGGUAUCAGAAGUGCGAAUGCUGACAUAAGUAACGAUAAAGCGGGUGAAAAGCCCGCUCGCCGGAAGACCAAGGGUUCCUGUCCAACGUUAAUCGGGGCAGGGUGAGUCGACCCCUAAGGCGAGGCCGAAAGGCGUAGUCGAUGGGAAACAGGUUAAUAUUCCUGUACUUGGUGUUACUGCGAAGGGGGGACGGAGAAGGCUAUGUUGGCCGGGCGACGGUUGUCCCGGUUUAAGCGUGUAGGCUGGUUUUCCAGGCAAAUCCGGAAAAUCAAGGCUGAGGCGUGAUGACGAGGCACUACGGUGCUGAAGCAACAAAUGCCCUGCUUCCAGGAAAAGCCUCUAAGCAUCAGGUAACAUCAAAUCGUACCCCAAACCGACACAGGUGGUCAGGUAGAGAAUACCAAGGCGCUUGAGAGAACUCGGGUGAAGGAACUAGGCAAAAUGGUGCCGUAACUUCGGGAGAAGGCACGCUGAUAUGUAGGUGAAGUCCCUCGCGGAUGGAGCUGAAAUCAGUCGAAGAUACCAGCUGGCUGCAACUGUUUAUUAAAAACACAGCACUGUGCAAACACGAAAGUGGACGUAUACGGUGUGACGCCUGCCCGGUGCCGGAAGGUUAAUUGAUGGGGUUAGCGGUAACGCGAAGCUCUUGAUCGAAGCCCCGGUAAACGGCGGCCGUAACUAUAACGGUCCUAAGGUAGCGAAAUUCCUUGUCGGGUAAGUUCCGACCUGCACGAAUGGCGUAAUGAUGGCCAGGCUGUCUCCACCCGAGACUCAGUGAAAUUGAACUCGCUGUGAAGAUGCAGUGUACCCGCGGCAAGACGGAAAGACCCCGUGAACCUUUACUAUAGCUUGACACUGAACAUUGAGCCUUGAUGUGUAGGAUAGGUGGGAGGCUUUGAAGUGUGGACGCCAGUCUGCAUGGAGCCGACCUUGAAAUACCACCCUUUAAUGUUUGAUGUUCUAACGUUGACCCGUAAUCCGGGUUGCGGACAGUGUCUGGUGGGUAGUUUGACUGGGGCGGUCUCCUCCUAAAGAGUAACGGAGGAGCACGAAGGUUGGCUAAUCCUGGUCGGACAUCAGAGGUUAGUGCAAUGGCAUAAGCCAGCUUGACUGCGAGCGUGACGGCGCGAGCAGGUGCGAAAGCAGGUCAUAGUGAUCCGGUGGUUCUGAAUGGAAGGGCCAUCGCUCAACGGAUAAAAGGUACUCCGGGGAUAACAGGCUGAUACCGCCCAAGAGUUCAUAUCGACGGCGGUGUUUGGCACCUCGAUGUCGGCUCAUCACAUCCUGGGGCUGAAGUAGGUCCCAAGGGUAUGGCUGUUCGCCAUUUAAAGUGGUACGCGAGCUGGGUUUAGAACGUCGUGAGACAGUUCGGUCCCUAUCUGCCGUGGGCGCUGGAGAACUGAGGGGGGCUGCUCCUAGUACGAGAGGACCGGAGUGGACGCAUCACUGGUGUUCGGGUUGUCAUGCCAAUGGCACUGCCCGGUAGCUAAAUGCGGAAGAGAUAAGUGCUGAAAGCAUCUAAGCACGAAACUUGCCCCGAGAUGAGUUCUCCCUGACUCCUUGAGAGUCCUGAAGGAACGUUGAAGACGACGACGUUGAUAGGCCGGGUGUGUAAGCGCAGCGAUGCGUUGAGCUAACCGGUACUAAUGAACCGUGAGGCUUAACCUU